GAGAUUUGGGACAAUGCGUACCAUCUGGACAUACACCCAGUUCAUGAAGAUGAAGAAGGCAAUUGCUAUUUCCGUAGGCAAGCAAGUCUCGUACAGUACAAGCAUUCCGAUAUAUAUGAACAAAGUAAAGAAUAAGUGAGACAAUUUUAUGAAGGGAUCAUUAGCAAGUAUGUAAUUAUUGCCCAUUGGCCUUUCAAGAUAAAAUUUGGUUUUUGACCUGUGCAUUUCUUUCCCUCAUUUAAAUCCAAUUUAAACAUAUUUGUUAGGUUGAAAGAUGAAGUUCGCCUGGCAAAAGCACUUCAUGUGAAUUUAACUAGAAGAAAAAUUGAGAAACAUGAAAUAAUUUUUCUUCAGAUUCUUCCAGAAGAAAAGUCUACAAACAUUGCACGCAACAACCAAGGAAUUCCAUCCCACUUAAAACAUAAUUCUUACAUACUUCUUAUUUAACAUUAAAGUUGUUAUAAAUUA